AAACCAGUCAUGUUAAAAACACACACACAUUACAAAGUGCAUUUUGUCCUUUUUUUUAAAAAAUGUUUUUUCCCCUGUGUAUAUAUGACACUUCUUCUAUCCCACAGAGGGACCAAGGCAUAUGCCUAAGAGAAAAAAAGCCACAAAAGAGGCAAAGCAGAAAUAUUGGUUGACUGGGAGCCCUGUCCAAUAUAUGGCAAGGAGUGGGCCCAUUCCUGGCAGCCAAAGGAUUCUCUUCAGAUUAAUGAGAAGAAAUAAAAUGUAGAAUUUAAACUACAUUUUGGUUUCUGCCUGUUUAUUACAUUGUUGCCUGUUUAUUACAAGGUGUAAAUCCCCAAUAAAUCUGACACAUAGAGUGUAGUCUCAAGUAGGAUUAAAAAGAAAUGUACUUAAUCCAACUCAAUUUCAUUUUCAGAUGUUAUUUGGAAACUUGUUUUAUAAUUCAUGUUUAUACAUUGCACUGUAUGUUGUUUUAUUACAGUUGACAUACAACUUGAUUUCAUGUUCUGUUGUCUCUGCUUUUCAAGUUAACAUCACAGACCACUGUUAAGACAUGCAAAAAAAAAUGUUUAAAGCUGUGCCACUCUCUGCUGCUGACAGUUG